rnacentral:rRNA from 1 species
CAAUCAAACCGGGAGAUAGCUGGUUCUCCCCGAAAGCUAUUUAGGUAGCGCCUCGUGAAUUCAUCUCCGGGGGUAGAGCACUGUUUCGGCUAGGGGGCCAUCCCGGCUUACCAACCCGAUGCAAACUGCGAAUACCGGAGAAUGUUAUCACGGGAGACACACGGCGGGUGCUAACGUCCGUCGUGAAGAGGGAAACAACCCAGACCGCCAGCUAAGGUCCCAAAGUCAUGGUUAAGUGGGAAACGAUGUGGGAAGGCCCAGACAGCCAGGAUGUUGGCUUAGAAGCAGCCAUCAUUUAAAGAAAGCGUAAUAGCUCACUGGUCGAGUCGGCCUGCGCGGAAGAUGUAACGGGGCUAAACCAUGCACCGAAGCUGCGGCAGCGAACGUAUCACCCAAGACAACUUUACGGAGUUGACGAUUGACGGAGCGAAGCGACGUCAAAGCGUUCAUUAAAGUCGAGUUGGCUUAGGGAUACGUUCGUUGGGUAGGGGAGCGUUCUGUAAGCCUGUGAAGGUGUGUCGUGAGGCAUGCUGGAGGUAUCAGAAGUGCGAAUGCUGACAUAAGUAACGAUAAAGCGGGUGAAAAGCCCGCUCGCCGGAAGACCAAGGGUUCCUGUCCAACGUUAAUCGGGGCAGGGUGAGUCGACCCCUAAGGCGAGGCCGAAAGGCGUAGUCGAUGGGAAACGGGUUAAUAUUCCCGUACUUGGUGUUACUGCGAAGGGGGGACGGAGAAGGCUAUGUUGGCCGGGCGACGGUUGUCCCGGUUUAAGCGUGUAGGUGUGUGUUCCAGGUAAAUCCGGUUCACUUUAACACUGAGGCGUGACGACGAGGCACUACGGUGCUGAAGCAACAAAUGCCCUGCUUCCAGGAAAAGCCUCUAAGCAUCAGGUAACAUCAAAUCGUACCCCAAACCGACACAGGUGGUCAGGUAGAGAAUACCAAGGCGCUUGAGAGAACUCGGGUGAAGGAACUAGGCAAAAUGGUGCCGUAACUUCGGGAGAAGGCACGCUGACACGUAGGUGAAGUGAUUUACUCAUGGAGCUGAAGUCAGUCGAAGAUACCAGCUGGCUGCAACUGUUUAUUAAAAACACAGCACUGUGCAAACACGAAAGUGGACGUAUACGGUGUGACGCCUGCCCGGUGCCGGAAGGUUAAUUGAUG